GAUGAACGCUGGCGGCGUGCCUAAUACAUGCAAGUCGAGCGAACAGACGAGGAGCUUGCUCCUCUGACGUUAGCGGCGGACGGGUGAGUAACACGUGGAUAACCUACCUAUAAGACUGGGAUAACUUCGGGAAACCGGAGCUAAUACCGGAUAAUAUAUUGAACCGCAUGGUUCAAUAGUGAAAGACGGUUUUGCUGUCACUUAUAGAUGGAUCCGCGCCGCAUUAGCUAGUUGGUAAGGUAACGACUUACCAAGGCAACGAUGCGUAGCCGACCUGAGAGGGUGGUCGGCCACACUGGAACUGAGACACGGUCCAGACUCCUACGGGAGGCAGCAGUAGGGAAUCUUCCGCAAUGGGCGAAAGCCUGACGGAGCAACGCCGCGUGAGUGAUGAAGGUCUUCGGAUCGUAAAACUCUGUUAUUAGGGAAGAACAAAUGUGUAAGUAACUAUGCACGUCUUGACGGUACCUAAUCAGAAAGCCACGGCUAACUACGUG
rnacentral:rRNA from 1 species